rnacentral:sRNA from 1 species
UCACUCGUCUAUCAGGCCUACUACUUAACGCAGAAAAUUUGCGCGGUAAGCCAGUGGCCGAAAAUCAGAACUGAUUUCCUCUUCCACAGACACUCAACCCGCGCCGAUGCGCGGGUUUUUUU